AUGGCAGUCGAACGAUGAAGCUGGAGCUUGCUCCGGUGGAUUAGUGGCGAACGGGUGAGUAACACGUGAGCAAUCUGCCCUUGACUCUGGGAUAACUGCGGGAAACUGUAGCUAAUACCGGAUACGAGGCUCGAAGGCAUCUUCGGGUCUGGAAAGAAUUUCGGUCAAGGAUGAGCUCGCGGCCUAUCAGCUAGUUGGUGAGGUAAUGGCUCACCAAGGCGACGACGGGUAGCCGGCCUGAGAGGGUGACCGGCCACACUGGGACUGAGACACGGCCCAGACUCCUACGGGAGGCAGCAGUGGGGAAUAUUGCACAAUGGGCGAAAGCCUGAUGCAGCAACGCCGCGUGAGGGAUGAAGGCCUUCGGGUUGUAAACCUCUUUUAGCAGGGAAGAAGCGAAAGUGACGGUACCUGCAGAAAAAGCACCGGCUAACUACGUGCCAGCAGCCGCGGUAAUACGUAGGGUGCAAGCGUUGUCCGGAAUUAUUGGGCGUAAAGAGCUCGUAGGCGGUUUGUCGCGUCUGCUGUGAAAACCUGAGGCUCAACCUCAGACCUGCAGUGGGUACGGGCAAGCUAGAGUGCGGUAGGGGAGAUGGGAAUUCCUGGUGUAGCGGUGGAAUGCGCAGAUAUCAGGAGGAACACCGAUGGCGAAGGCACAUCUCUGGGCCGUAACUGACGCUGAGGAGCGAAAGCGUGGGGAGCGAACAGGAUUAGAUACCCUGGUAGUCCACGCCGUANACGGUGGGUGCUAGUUGUGGGUCACAUUCCACGUGAUCCGUGACGAAGUUAACACAUUAAGCACCCCGCCUGGGGAGUACGGUCGCAAGACUAAAACUC
rnacentral:rRNA from 1 species